UUUUUAUUUUUGUUUCCCUUACCUGAGGAGAUAUAUCCAAAAGGUAUUUCUAAGAUUGACGUCAAAGAGCACACUGCUUUUGUUUGCUUCUGAAAGUUUUAUAGUUCAGGUCUUACAUUUAAGUUUUUAAUCCAUUUUGAAUUUAUUUUUAUACACAGUUGAGACAUUAGUAUAGUAUGAUUCUUCUGCACAUAGCUGUCCAGUUCCUCAUUGUAUAUUCUUGCCUUCUUUGUCAUGGGUUAAUUGCAUUUAACAAUGGGUUUACUUCUAAGCUCUCUAUGCUGUUCCAUUUAUAUAUGUGUUUGUUUUUAUGUUGUAUCAUACUGUUUUGAUGACUAUAUUUUUGUGGUAUUGUUUGAAAUCAGGGAGCAUGAUAAUUCCAGUUUUGUUCUUCUUUCUCAACAUUUGUUUUGGCUAUUCUGGAUCAUUUGUGCUUCCACACAAAUUUUAGAGUUAUUUGUUCCAGUUCUGUGAAAUAUGCCAUUGGAAAUUUAGUAGGGAUUGCCUAUAAAACCUGUAGUUUUCCUGGGGUAGUAUGGUCAUUUUUUAAAUAUUAAUUCUUCUAAUAUAUGAACAUGGUAUAUAUCUUUCCAUCUGAUGGUGUCAUUUUCAGUUUCUUUCAUCAGUAUCUUAUAUUUUUCUAGGUACGCAUCUUUAACCUCCUUGUUUAGAUUUGUUUCUAGGUAUUUUAUUCUUUUUGAUGACAUCAUACAUGGGAUUGUUUUAAUUUCCCUUUCUGCUAAUUCAGUUUUAAAGUAUAGAAAUAUAUUUGUGUAUAUUAAUUUUGUAUCCUGCAAAUUGAUGGAACUCAUUUGCUCCAAUAAUUGUUUGGUGAUGGCUUAAGUUUUCUAUAUCAUGUCACCUACAAACAGUGACAGUUUUACUUCUUCCUUUCCAAUAUGGAUAUCAUUUAUAUCUUUUUCCUGUCUGAUUGCUGUGACUGUGGCUUCUAAUACUAUGCUGCAUUAAAGUGGUGAGAGUAGACAUCCCAGUCUUGAUUCUGAUCUUAGAGGAAAUGCUUUCAGCUCUUCACCAUUAACUAUGAUGUUAACUGUGAUCUUGUCAUACAGGGCCUUCAUCAUGUUGAGGAAUGUUCCCUCUAUACCUACUUUGUUGAGAGUUUAUAAUGGCAUAUCAUUAUUCAUACUAAUUUCUUAUGAUCCUUUGUAUCACUGUGAUGUUGGCUAUAAUGAUUUUAUUUGGGCCCUCUCUUUUUUUCUUGAUGAGUCUAGUUAAGGUUUAUCAAUUUUAUUUAUCUUUUUAAAGAACCAGUCUUUAAUUUCAUUCAUCUUUUCCACUGUGUUUUGUUUUUCGUCUCUAUUUAUUUCUGCUCUGAUCUUUAUGAUUUUCCUUCUACUAACUUUGGGUUUGUUUGUUCCUCUUUUUCUAGUACCUUUAAAAAGUUUAGUAAGCUGAAGUUGUUUGAGAUUUUUCUUGUUUCCUGAGGUCAGGUUGUAUUGCUAUAAACCCUUAGCGCUGCAUUUCCAGCAUCCCACAGAUUUUCAUUUGUCUCCAUGUUUUUUUCUCAUUUCUUCAGUGACCCUUUGGUCAUCUGGUAGCAUAAUAUUGUUUAAUAUCCAUGUGUUUAUUGUUUUUUACUAUUUUUUUUCUUUCAGUUAAGUUUUAGUCUCCUACCAUUGGGAAUCAGAAAAGAGAGUUGAUAUGUCAUCAAUUUUCUUAAAUAUACUGAGGCCUGUUUUGUGGCAUAUCAUAUGAUCUAUCCUGGAGAAUAUUCUAUGUGCACUUGUAAAGAAUGUAUAUUCUGCUGAUUUUGGAUGGAACAUUCUAUGUGUAUCUAUUUCAGUCCAUCCAACAUAAUGUGUCAUUUAAAGCCAAUGUUUCCUUACUGAAUUUUCUGUCUGUAUGAUCUGUCCAUUGAUGUGAGUGGGUUAUUUAAGUCCCCUAUUAUUAUGGUCUUAAUUUCUCCCUUUAUGUUUGCUAAUAUUUGCUUUAUGUAGUUAGGUGCUAUGUUGGGUACAUAUAUUUACAAUUGUUUUAUCUUCUUGUUCAUUGCGGAUUAUUCACAAUAGCCAAGAAAUGGAAAUAACCUAAGUGUCAGUCAACAGAUGAAGAGAUUAAAAAAUGUAUAUAUAUCAAUACAUACAGAAUGGAAUAGUUAACCAUGAGAAAGAACAUUCUGCCAACUGUGACAACAUGCAUGAAACUUGAAGUCAUUACACCAAAUAAAAAGUCAAACAUAAAAAAGACAAGUGAUACUGUGAUAUAACAUAUUUG
rnacentral:lncRNA from 1 species